UUGGAGGGAUGGAUAACCCUCCCACAAAAGCCUGCUGCAGCUGCUGCAGUGCCCACUACGGAAGAUGCCCUAGAUGCUGCAG
rnacentral:miRNA from 1 species